AUUGAACGCUGGCGGCAUGCCUUACACAUGCAAGUCGAACGGUAACAGGCCGCAAGGUGCUGACGAGUGGCGAACGGGUGAGUAAUGCAUCGGAACGUGCCCAGUCGUGGGGGAUAACGCAGCGAAAGCUGCGCUAAUACCGCAUACGAUCUGUGGAUGAAAGCGGGGGACCGAAAGGCCUCGCGCGAUUGGAGCGGCCGAUGUCAGAUUAGGUAGUUGGUGGGGUAAAGGCCCACCAAGCCAACGAUCUGUAGCUGGUCUGAGAGGACGACCAGCCACACUGGGACUGAGACACGGCCCAGACUCCUACGGGAGGCAGCAGUGGGGAAUUUUGGACAAUGGGCGCAAGCCUGAUCCAGCAAUGCCGCGUGCAGGAAGAAGGCCUUCGGGUUGUAAACUGCUUUUGUACGGAACGAAACGGCUCUGGUUAAUACCUGGGGCUAAUGACGGUACCGUAAGAAUAAGCACCGGCUAACUACGUGCCAGCCGCCGCGGUAACAC
rnacentral:rRNA from 1 species